GAUGAACGCUGGCGGCGUGCUUAACACAUGCAAGUCGAACGAUGAAGCCCAGCUUGCUGGGUGGAUUAGUGGCGAACGGGUGAGUAACACGUGAGUAACCUGCCCUUAACUCUGGGAUAAGCCUGGGAAACUGGGUCUAAUACCGGAUAGGAGCGUCCACCGCAUGGUGGGUGUUGGAAUGAUUUAUCGGUUUUGGAUGGACUCGCGGCCUAUCAGCUUGUUGGUGGGGUAUCGGCUCACCAAGGCGACGACGGGUAGCCGGCCUGAGAGGGUGACCGGCCACACUGGGACUGAGACACGGCCCAGUCUCCAACGGGAGGCAGAGGGGGGGAAUAUUGCACAAUGGGCGCAAGCCUGAUGCAGCGGCGCCGCGUGAGGGAUGACGGCCUUCGGGUUGUAAACCUCUUUCAGUAGGGAAGAAGCGAAAGUGACGGUACCUGCAGAAGAAGCACCGGCUAACUACGUG
rnacentral:rRNA from 1 species